rnacentral:tRNA from 1 species
GGAUCUAUAGCCCAACGGAAGAGGCAGCAGACUUAAAAUCUGUUCAGUCCCGGUUCGAAUCCGGGUGGGUCCACCA